UCUCCAGUGGUGAAAAUGGCUAACACCAUUGGCUGCUAACCAAAAAGUUGGAGGUUUGAGUCCAUCCAGAGGAG
rnacentral:tRNA from 1 species